rnacentral:tRNA from 1 species
GGCCUCAUAGCCAAGUGGUAAGGCAAGGCACUGCAACUGCCUGACCAUCGGUUCAAAUCCGUUUGAGGCCUCCA